AUAUUAACAUAAUGAGGGUAGAAAAUGUCUCAUUCAUUUCUAUUUCCAACAGCACAGGUCCUGUCACACAACAAGAAGUCAAUAAAUGUUUGCUGCAUGGCUCAGUGUUCAUCAACCUUUAAGCAUGAGACCAAAAGAUUGCAAAGAUGCUUCAUGCUGUGACCCCUAGCCUCCAGGAAUGACUCAUGUCUAGCUUUCCUGAUUCAACAAAUAGAGAUGUAACUGAGUAGGUGGGCAAUGUAGCUAAAGAAUUUGCCCCAAGGAAGGAGAAGGAGGAGCAAGAUGGCCAAAUAGAAGCAUCCACUGAUCAUCCUUCCCACAGGAACAACAAAUUGACCAACUAUCCACACAAAAGGCACCUUGAAAACAACCAAAAGUCAGGAGACUUGCUAUUCCCUUCUCAGCUCUGUGAUGUUGAAGAAGCUACAUGGAAAGGAAUUCAGAGCAGCCUUCAGCUAUCAGCCAGUGAGAAACCAAGCCCCUCAAUUCAACAUCCCUUCAGGAAGAGAAUUCUGUCACCAACCAAGUUAGUUUGGAAACAGAUUCUUCCUCAGCCAAGCGCUAAGAUGAGACACCAGCCCUGGCUGACACCCUGACUACCUCCUGUGAGAGACCCUGAAACAGAAGACAUCUAAGCUAUGCCGAUUCCUGAUCCAUGGACACUCAUGCCAUAAUAAAAAUAUAUGUUGUUUUAAACUGCUAAA